rnacentral:lncRNA from 1 species
CAAAAAGAGCAGAUUUCCUUCCAGCCUUUCGAAACUGCAGCAACCUCUUAGGUAUUUUUGUGCAGUAUUCCACACAGCAAUAAUUCUGUGUGAGAUUUCUACAACACUGAAGAACUCUUUCCUAAGCAGUUUUUCCCCACUGAGAACUUUUAAAGUUAAUAAUUCCUAGUAUGCAAAAUUGUUUGUGCAGCAUUACUUUAAUGCUGGAAAUUGUAUCCCUGUUGUCAGAUCCAUCAUGCUAUUCUAAG